AAAUUGAAGAGUUUGAUCAUGGCUCAGAUUGAACGCUGGCGGCAGGCCUAACACAUGCAAGUCGAACGGUAACAGGAAGCAGCUUGCUGCUUUGCUGACGAGUGGCGGACGGGUGAGUAAUGUCUGGGAAACUGCCCGAUGGAGGGGGAUAACUACUGGAAACGGUAGCUAAUACCGCAUAACGUCGCAAGACCAAAGAGGGGGACCUUAGGGCCUCUUGCCAUCGGAUGUGCCCAGAUGGGAUUAGCUAGUAGGUGGGGUAACGGCUCACCUAGGCGACGAUCCCUAGCUGGUCUGAGAGGAUGACCAGCCACACUGGAACUGAGACACGGUCCAGACUCCUACGGGAGGCAGCAGUGGGGAAUAUUGCACAAUGGGCGCAAGCCUGAUGCAGCCAUGCCGCGUGUAUGAAGAAGGCCUUCG
rnacentral:rRNA from 1 species